AAUAAUCUACCAAAACUGAGCUAUUUUACAACAUAAACUAGUAUUAUUAAAUCUGUGCUUUCAAUGAGGCCAGACAAACAAACUCUCUACAGAUCACCCCCACCACCUUUCCACACUGCUGUGAGGUCUUGGUGAUCUUGUGGUGGCCACCGCUACGCUGGGGUUAGCUACUUGGUUCUUGGGGGUAUUAGCCCAGGGUCGGAUGGUAUUAACCCUUAAUGUCACGUGACGCCACUGUAGUCUUGGUAUCUCCCGGGGUACUACAGGUCCGGGGAACUCCAUCUCCCCACAGGCUAGCAAGGAAAGAAUUGACUCCACACUAGGUUGCAGUUUAACGGAGGCUUUACUAACUUGAAGAUAGGUGGUACAAUCUCCACAGCGCUCAACCAAAGUCUCCCAAAGGGUUAACAGACACUCUCUAGAGGACCACACAGAUUGCAGUGCCUGGACUUGAUAUUGCAUAUAUGCUUGGCUCUUACGGAGUUUUAGCUCUGCGCUAUAUUAGGCUUGAGAUUAAAGUCACUUACUGAAGUGUCGGUAGAUUUGUGGCUUUUCGCCGGAAGAUAAUGAAUUGUCCUUUAGGAAUUCUCUGAUCAAGGCUGUAGUAAAGGCUGGAUAUUUCUCCACACUGUACUCUGACUUGAAAAUGAGUUGCUUUACUCUGAACUCAACUUCUCUCCUGAACUCCUGAUCUCCACUCCACUCAGCUUCUCUCCACACUUGAACUCUCCAGAACUGCUGACCCCUGAACUGUGCUCCUCAACUCCACUGAACUCCACCUAGACUGAACUACACAGGAAAUGCCACCCCUUAUGAGGGAAGGCUAAACUAAAGCCCAUUGGCCAGGCAGCUGUGGACCAUAGAGUUGUCUGUCUCUCCUUUGGGAUUAACAAUAAAGUUACAUACAAGUAAUAACAUAAUACCUUACACAAAAGUUUAGUCUAGCCCUCAGUCCUCCACUCUCACAUACCCUGACUAGGCAUGAGGUUGCUAGAGAUGAUGCUGCAGAAUUCCCAUGAAAAAUCAUUCAGAAUUGCAGAACACUUCAGUUGGGCUGUGUAGUCAAUAACUAGCAGGCUGCAUGCAAAGAGAUUUCUCCCUGAAAGUGACCCGUCUCCUCUCCAUGGUGUGUUAGUGGGGUGAUAAAUGGGAAUUGUUGCUGUUGUGGAUCUUCCAUGCGCAGUGCAAUGCACCCCUCACCUGAAGCAAAG